GACCGCUCCGGUGGCUUAGUGGUUAGAGCGUCCGCCUCGGAUGCGGGAGCUUGCGGAUUGGAACACCGGCCGAGUCA